rnacentral:rRNA from 1 species
UGGGGAAUAUUGGACAAUGGGCGAAAGCCUGAUCCAGCCAUGCCGCGUGUGUGAAGAAGGUCUUCGGAUUGUAAAGCACUUUAAGUUGGGAGGAAGGGCAUUAACCUAAUACGUUAGUGUUUUGACGUUACCCACAGAAUAAGCACCGGCUAACUCUGUGCCAGCAGCCGCGGUAAUACAGAGGGUGCAAGCGUUAAUCGGAAUUACUGGGCGUAAAGCGCGCGUAGGUGGUUUGUUAAGUUGGAUGUGAAAGCCCCGGGCUCAACCUGGGAACUGCAUCCAAAACUGGCAAGCUAGAGUACGGUAGAGGGUGGUGGAAUUUCCUGUGUAGCGGUGAAAUGCGUAGAUAUAGGAAGGAACACCAGUGGCGAAGGCGACCACCUGGACUGAUACUGACACUGAGGUGCGAAAGCGUGGGGAGCAAACA